AACGAACGCUGGCGGCAUGCCUAACACAUGCAAGUCGAACGAGACCUUCGGGUCUAGUGGCGCACGGGUGCGUAACGCGUGGGAACCUGCCCUUAGGUUCGGAAUAACUCCCCGAAAGGGGUGCUAAUACCGGAUAAUGUCUUCGGACCAAAGAUUUAUCGCCUUUGGAUGGGCCCGCGUUGGAUUAGCUAGUUGGUAGGGUAAAAGCCUACCAAGGCGACGAUCCAUAGCUGGUCUGAGAGGAUGAUCAGCCACACUGGGACUGAGACACGGCCCAGACUCCUACGGGAGGCAGCAGUGGGGAAUAGUGGACAAUGGGCGAAAGCCUGAUCCAGCAAUGCCGCGUGAGUGAUGAAGGCCUUAGGGUGGUAAAGCUCUUUUACCCGGGAUGAUAAUGACAGUACCGGGAGAAUAAGCUUCGGCUAACUCCGU
rnacentral:rRNA from 1 species